UGACACAGAGAACGGUUAGACAGAGUUAAGUAUUCAACAGGAAAUAAGGUCAUAUCGAGUCUUAGACAUCUGUUUUUGAUUUCUUAGCUUUCCUUAAUCAAAAAGAAAUGUUUGGUCAAAGAGCGUUCAGUUGUAUAGACAGAAGGUUACUUACUACUCAUGCUGGCUUUCCCUUGGACUUUCUUAUUUGAUGAAAAAGGAAAUGAAUGAAGAUUUACAAUUUGACAAAGAAACAGCUAGGGAUUUCCAUCCACACAGACUUUGUCUCCUGAACCUCAGUUGGAGAUGAUCCUCAAAGAAGAGGAAAAAUAUAAGAUGGAAAGCACAAAGGCUCCAAAUCAUGUCUUCCUCCCUUUUUCUCUAUCCACGGCAUCCACAACACCAGAAGAACAAAGAAAAUAGCUUUGGAUUGGGGGAGGGAUCCUGACUGAAAGAAUGAGCCACUAACACUUCUAAAAUGUGGAUUCCCAGUGGCUGCAAAACUUUUGCAUGCAUAAGGCCACUUUCAUGGAACUGUG